UUAAAAAGUCUAGUCUAUUCGAUGCAUUGUUUUCACGGCUAUUGUUAUGCUGAUUCACCUGAAUACGUGGCCCGGUGGAAAAAACUUGGGCUUCAAUGACACUGAGUCGAGUCCGGUUGAGCGAAGUUAGUACCGGGAUGGGUGACUUGAAACUAUUAUCUAUACUUUACCUUUCUAUAAUUUGAAAGUUGCAAGAUUUUAAUUCCCCCCGCAACUUUUAAUCAAUUACAAUUCUUUUUAGUAGAUAAAUCAUCGAAAACUAAAAAUUGCAGGCAGUAAUCUGUGGCCAGUCAAGUACAGUGGGACGACUCUUCUCAAAUGGAGCAGUGCGCUUGUCUAACAAGCACUAACUCGUUUCAUAUUUUUUUAAUUUGUUGCAUGCCUCUUAUGCGCCACCGUAAAAAUCGGUAUAAAAAUAAUGAUUGUCAAUCAAUGAGAAGCACGACAUUAGCGCAUUUACUUAACGAAGAUUUUCAAUGAAUAAAGCUAGCUACAAACCUUA